rnacentral:rRNA from 1 species
AUUAUUUUUUUAGAUUCUUUUUUAUUGUUGAAAAAAUUAAAAACAAAUUGUUUUUUACCAUAAUUAAAAUUUAUAAUAUUUCAAUUUUUAAUUUUUAGUUUUAAAUAAAAAUUACAAAUAUGAAAAAUAAAAAAAUUUUGUUAUAAAUUAAAUUAAUUUAUUUAUAUUAAAAAUAUUUUUUAUAAUUUUUAUUUUUUUUAUUUUUUUAAAAAAAAA